rnacentral:rRNA from 1 species
AUUGAACGCUGGCGGCAUGCCUUACACAUGCAAGUCGAACGGUAACAGGUCUUCGGAUGCUGACGAGUGGCGAACGGGUGAGUAAUGCAUCGGAACGUACCUUUCAGUGGGGGAUAACGUAGCGAAAGUUACGCUAAUACCGCAUAUUCUGUGAGCAGGAAAGCAGGGGAUCGCAAGACCUUGCGCUGAUUGAGCGGCCGAUGUCAGAUUAGCUAGUUGGUGAGGUAAAGGCUCACCAAGGCGACGAUCUGUAGCGGGUCUGAGAGGAUGAUCCGCCACACUGGAACUGAGACACGGUCCAGACUCCUACGGGAGGCAGCAGUGGGGAAUUUUGGACAAUGGGGGCAACCCUGAUCCAGCCAUGCCGCGUGAGUGAAGAAGGCCUUCGGGUUGUAAAGCUCUUUCGGCCGGGAAGAAAUCGCAUGGGCUAAUACCCUGUGCGGAUGACGGUACCGGCAUAAGAAGCACCGGCUAACUACGUG